rnacentral:rRNA from 1 species
AUUGAACGCUGGCGGCACGCCUAACACAUGCAAGUCGAACGAGAACGGAAUAUAGCUUGCUAUAUUUGUCAGCUAAGUGGCGCACGGGUGAGUAAUGUAUAGAUAACCUGCCCUUAAGAAAGGAAUAACAGUUGGAAACGACUGCUAAUGCCCUAUAUGCCUUUAAUACAUAAGUAUGCAAGGGAAACGCUUUAGUGCUUAAGGAUGGGUCUGUAUGGUAUCAGCUUGUUGGUGAGGUAAUGGCUCACCAAGGCUAUGACGCCUAACUGGUUUGAGAGGAUGAUCAGUCACACUGGAACUGAGACACGGUCCAGACUCCUACGGGAGGCAGCAGUGGGGAAUAUUGCACAAUGGACGAAAGUCUGAUGCAGCAACGCCGCGUGGAGGAUGACACAUUUCGGUGCGUAAACUCCUUUUAUAUAGGAAGAUAAUGACGGUACUAUAUGAAUAAGCACCGGCUAACUCCGUGCCAGCCGCCGCGGUAA